UUAAGUCAGAUGUGAAAGCCCCGGGCUUAACCUGGGAACUGCAUUUGAAACUGGUCAACUAGAGUAUGGUAGAGGAAAGUGGAAUUUCUGGUGUAGCGGUGAAAUGCGUAGAUAUCAGAAGGAACAUCAAUGGCGAAGGCAGCUUUCUGGACCAAUACUGACGCUGAGGUACGAAAGCGUGGGUAGCAAACAGGAUUAGAUACCCUGGUAGUCCACGCCGUAAACGAUGAUAACUAGCCGUUGGGGGGAUUUACCCCUUAGUGGCGAAGCUAACGCGUUAAGUUAUCCGCCUGGGGAGUACGGCCGCAAGGCUAAAACUCAAAUGAAU
rnacentral:rRNA from 1 species